rnacentral:rRNA from 1 species
CCUACGGGAGGCAGCAGUGGGGAAUAUUGGACAAUGGGCGAAAGCCUGAUCCAGCAAUGCCGCGUGAGUGAUGAAGGCCUUAGGGUUGUAAAGCUCUUUUACCAGGGAUGAUAAUGACAGUACCUGGAGAAUAAGCUCCGGCUAACUCCGUGCCAGCAGCCGCGGUAAUACGGAGGGAGCUAGCGUUGUUCGGAAUUACUGGGCGUAAAGCGUACGUAGGCGGUUAUUCAAGUCAGAGGUGAAAGCCUGGAGCUCAACUCCAGAACUGCCUUUGAAACUAGAUAGCUAGAAUCUUGGAGAGGUGAGUGGAAUUCCGAGUGUAGAGGUGAAAUUCGUAGAUAUUCGGAAGAACACCAGUGGCGAAGGCGACUCACUGGACAAGUAUUGACGCUGAGGUACGAAAGCGUGGGGAGCAAACAGGAUUAGAUACCCUGGUAGUCCACGCCGUAAACGAUGAUAACUAGAUGUCGGUCGUCUACGACGCUUGUAGUGGUCGGCGAGACGUAACCGUACCGAUUAAGUUAAGUUACCGUCCGUCGGGGUAGGGUACGGUCGGCGAGAAGUUAAACUUAACUAAAUUAGUUAAGUUAGUUACGGUUCGUGAGACGUUGCCGACGGACGACGACGAGGGAGGAGG